rnacentral:rRNA from 1 species
CACGCCGUAAACGAUGAAUACUAGGUGUAGGAGGUAUCGACUCCUUCUGUGCCGCAGCUAACGCAAUAAGUAUUCCGCCUGGGAANAGCAACGCGAAGAACCUUACCUAGACUUGACAUCCCCUGAAUUACCUGUAAUGAGGGAAGCCCUUCGGGGCAGGGAGACAGGUGG